rnacentral:rRNA from 1 species
AUAUCAAUAAGCGGAGGAAAAGAAACCAACAGGGAUUGCCCUAGUAACGGCGAGUGAAGCGGCAACAGCCCAGAUUUGAAAGCUAGCUCUUUAUAGAGUUCGCAUUGUAAUCUGUGGAUUGGCACCUUAGUGAAGUACCCGCCGAGUCCCCUGGAACGGGGCGCCAUAGAGGGUGAGAGCCCCGUACGGCGGUGUACCUAGCUUUUAUAGGGGCCUUUCAGAGAGUCGCGUAGUUUGGGAUUGCUGCGCAAAGUGGGAGGUAUAUCUCUUCUAAGGCUAAAUACCGGCUAGAGACCGAUAGCGCACAAGUAGAGUGAUCGAAAGAUGAAAAGCACCUUGAAAAGGGGGUUAAAUAGUACGUGAAAUUGCUAAAGGGGAAGCGUUUGUGACUAGACUCGUGUAUGGUAGCUCACCUAGCAACUCGCUGGGGCACUCUACUAUACUCGGGCCAGCGUUGGCUUACCUAGCAACUUAAAGGCUGUAGGGAAUGUGGCCCUUUUCGGAGGGUGUUAUAGACCUAUGUCAUAUGUUGCUAAGUAGGCCAAGGACCGCGCUCUGCAAGGACGCUGGCGUAAUGGUUACUAGCGACCCGUCUUGAAACACGGACCAAGGAGUCGUCCUCGUAUGCGAGUGUUUGGGUAUUAAACCCCUACGCGUAAUGAAAGUGAACGUUGGUAGGAGCUUCGGCGCACUAUCGACCGAUUCUGAUGUCUUCGGAUGGAUUUGAGUAUGAGCAUACGGGGCCGGACCCGAAAGAGGGUGAACUAUGCGUGUAUAGGGUGAAGCCAGAGGAAACUCUGGUGGAGGCUCGCAGCGGUUCUGACGUGCAAAUCGAUCGUCAAAUAUGCGCAUGGGGGCGAAAGACUAAUCGAACCUUCUAGUAGCUGGUUUCUGCCGAAGUUUCCCUCAGGAUAGCAGUGCUGGUCUCAGUUUUAUGAGGUAAAGCGAAUGAUUAGGGACUCGGGGGCGCUAUUUAGCCUUCAUCCAUUCUCAAACUUUAAAUAUGUAAGAAGCCCUUGUUACUUUAGUGAACGUGGGCGCUCGAAUGUAGCAGCACUAGUGGGCCA